CGGGUUCGUAAAACCCUGUCGGAUGGGAAGAAACGCGGUUUGGCUAACAUCCAGAUCGAUUGACGGUACCAUCAGAGGAAGCACCGGCUAACUACGUGC
rnacentral:rRNA from 1 species